GUCUAUUACGGGUUUAUUAAUAGUCUAGCCUGCUCAGUGAUAUUAACGAUUAAAUAGCCGCGGUAUCCUGACCGUGCAAAGGUAGCAUAAUCAUUAGUUCUUUAAUUGGGAACUGGUAUGAAUGGUUGGACAAAGAAAAUACUGUCUCUUAUAUUAAAAUUGAACUUAACUUUUAGGUGAAAAGGCCUAAAUUAUUUAAGGGGACGAUAAGACCCUAUAAAGCUUUAUAAAUCUAUAAAUUAUUACAUAUUUAAAAUAUAAAGGUAAUCUUUUAGAUAUUUAUUUGGUUGGGGCGACAGUGGUAUAAAUUAAUUAACUGCUAAUAAAAGUUACAAUAAUUUUUGAUUCUUAAGUUAUAGAUCCUCUCUAGGGAUUAAAAAAUCAAGUUACUUUAGGGAUAACAGCGUUAUUCUUUCAGAGAGUACUUAUCAAAGAAAGAGUUUGCGACCUCGAUGUUGAAUUAAAAUGUCUAUAUAGUGCAGCAGCUAUAUAAGAAGGUCUGCGCGACCUUUAAUAUUUU
rnacentral:rRNA from 1 species